AUUGAACGCUGGCGGCAUGCCUUACACAUGCAAGUCGAACGGCAGCGCGGACUUCGGUCUGGCGGCGAGUGGCGAACGGGUGAGUAAUACAUCGGAACGUACCCUGUUGUGGGGGAUAACUAGUCGAAAGAUUAGCUAAUACCGCAUACGACCUGAGGGUGAAAGAGGGGGACCGCAAGGCCUCACGCAGCAGGAGCGGCCGAUGUCUGAUUAGCUAGUUGGUGGGGUAAAGGCCCACCAAGGCGACGAUCAGUAGCUGGUCUGGGAGGACGAUCGGCCACACUGGGACUGAGACACGGCCCAGACUCCUACGGGAGGCAGCAGUGGGGAAUUUUGGACAAUGGGGGCAACCCUGAUCCAGCAAUGCCGCGUGUGUGAAGAAGGCCUUCGGGUUGUAAAGCACUUUUGUCCGGAAAGAAAUCGCGCUGGUUAAUACCUGGCGUGGAUGACGGUACCGGAAGAAUAAGCACCGGCUAACUACGUGCCAGCCGCCGCAGUAA
rnacentral:rRNA from 1 species